rnacentral:rRNA from 1 species
UGGGGAAUAUUGCACAAUGGGCGCAAGCCUGAUGCAGCCAUGCCGCGUGUGUGAAGAAGGCCUUCGGGUUGUAAAGCACUUUCAGCGGGGAGGAAGGCGAUAAGGUUAAUAACCUCAUCGACUGACGUUACCCGCAGAAGAAGCACCGGCUAACUCCGUGCCAGCAGCCGCGGUAAUACGGAGGGUGCAAGCGUUAAUCGGAAUUACUGGGCGUAAAGCGCACGCAGGCGGUCUGUCAAGUCGGAUGUGAAAUCCCCGGGCUCAACCUGGGAACUGCAUUGGAAACUGGCAGGCUAGAGUCUUGUAGGGGGGGGUAGAAUUCCAGGUGUAGCGGUGAAAUGCGUAGAGAUCGGGAGGAAUACCGGUGGCGAAGGCGGCCCCCUGGGCAAAGACUGACGCUGAGGUGCGAAAGCGUGGGGAGCGAACAGG